CUGUUUUUUUUUAUGCCAUCAACUCCUUUUUCUGCAGUGAAAAUAGAGCUUCAGAGAAAAUAGAAAAGCAUUCAACCCAAAAUAACAAUACCUCAGACUCCAUUGCAACAGGAGAUGAUAUAGUGUAUGAGUGUUUGCUCUAAUCAUUUUUUGGCAAACAAUUUGAAAAGAUUCAGACCUAUCCAUUUCAAGUCCAAUAAAUGUGCCUCGCUCAUGUGUGGCUGCUUUUUCAAAUAAAAGAACAGAUGAAAAUCGAUAGGGAAGGAUCUCCAAUUAGUCUUGACUAAACUGGGGAUCAGAGAGGUCAACAAAGCAGGGUGGCUUUCCUCCUGUCCACUGAUAGAUGUUUACUGUUUGCUGUAGUGAUUUUUUUUUUUUAACUAAGCCUAUGACAUGAAUCCACACUUCUCCAGAACAGCAGCAGAAGGACAUUUUUGAGGGAAAGCUCGCCACAGAACUGGAGAUUGUUGACUCUGAUCUGUUGUAGCCAGUCUGGGUUUUCCUCCAUAUUUUCUGUGCAGUGUGAACGGCAUGAUGGUAACCGGUGCCGUCCUAACAGAUGUGUUGCCAGGCAACUGUGAGUAACACAGACAGACUUAACACACACCUCUGACCUGUCUCCCAGAAAGCUCUUUCUGCUCUCUGCCUUUCAUGUCUCAUUUUAUUCGCCUUCAAAACAUGUCCCACAAUUACUGCUAAUUUAAAUAUAGAUGCUGCACUUUGCUUAAAUAUAGCAAAGCCUGGAAUCUUCCUCUCAUUUCACCCAAGUGCUGGUUACAAUGUGUAAUCAAUUCUGCUUAAAAUGGCUUGUGUAUCUUAUACCAUACUACAUGCUACUGUGAAAGAGCCUAAUAAUUUUCUAAACAGACAUUUUCUAAUUUUCUAAUCAUUUUCUAAACUGACUCAGAUGACAUGAAAUAAUUCUUUCUGUUAUUUAGCUCCUUAAGGGGCUUGUAUUCAUUCACCAACAGCUGCUGUAACUGCUUUAAGAGCAGGGAAUCUAAAUGACCUGAGGAAAUGUCUGCAGAGAGCCUGACUUAACAACCCUGCAAAAAUACACGUUUUGGCAAAACUUGAGCGUGUUACGAGAUGUUCUGACUGAAUGAAGCAGGAGAUUGUAAUCUUCAAGAAGGAAUCCACAGGAGGAAAUUUGUGCGCUGUUCCCAUCCAGCGCUGGUGGGAGAGGCAGCAGUGCGGAUCAGCAGCGUGUUAAAGCUCUCUCUACAGACGCUGGAUUCUUUUCCUCUCUCUCACUUCGGCUUGAAUAACCGUGGCAGAGAAGUGCAAACAGGAAUUGGCAACAGCCCAGAAUGACCAAACAGAAGGCACACAUUUCUGUACUGUCGGCCCUAAGGAAAGACAAGAAGGUGCAAAUGAAGAUUGACUAAUCCCACGCUGUUUACCACCAGGCUUAGGAGCACGCUGUGUUCCGAAACCAGAGAGUCUCGUUGUAGCUCAGUCCAGACAGGUGAACCCCUGCUGUCAGCCUUAAGAAUGUGUGUGUGUGUGUGUGUGUGUGUGUGGAAGGGCAUCACAGUGGGUAAUAGUGGGUAAAAUCUGGAGAUGCUAGGUGUAUGGAGCACUUAUGGGACUAAAAGAGAUGGAAAGAGGCCCACAGAGACUGCACAGUACCUAGAACUUAGUGGCAAUCAUGUGUGUGUGUGUGUGUGUGUGUGUGUGUGUGUAAGAGAGAGAGACAGAGACAGAGAGAGACAGAGAGAGAGAGAGAGAGAGAGAGA